CGAAGGUAGCAUAAUCAGUAGUCUUUUAAUUGAAGGCUUGUAUGAAUGGUUGGACGAAAUAUUAACUGUUUCAUUUAAAAUUUUUAUAGAAUUUUAUUUUUUAGUCAAAAAGCUAAAAUAUAAUUAAAAGACGAGAAGACCCUAUAAAUCUUGAUAUUUAAAUUGAUUUUAAUUAUAAAGAUUAAUUAAAUUAUAAUUAGUUAAAAUAUUUUAUUGGGGUGAUAUUAAAAUUUAAAAAACUUUUAAUUUUGUUUUUACAUUAAUUUAUGAUUUUAUGAUCCAUUAAUAAUGAUUAAAAAUUUAAGUUACUUUAGGGAUAACAGCGUAAUUUUUUUGGAGAGUUCAUAUUGAUAAAAAAGAUUGCGACCUCGAUGUUGGAUUAA
rnacentral:rRNA from 1 species